rnacentral:rRNA from 1 species
AACGAACGCUGGCGGCAGGCCUAACACAUGCAAGUCGAACGCUCUAGCAAUAGAGAGUGGCAGACGGGUGAGUAACGCGGGAAACUUCCUAGGGGUACGGAAUAGCUCAGGGAAACUUGGGGUAAUACCGUAUGAUGCCGUAAGGCCAAAGAUUUAUCGCCCUUAGAUGUGCCCGCGUCGGAUUAGCUAGUUGGUGAGGUAACGGCUCACCAAGGCGACGAUCCGUAGCUGGUUUGAGAGAAUGACCAGCCACACUGGGACUGAGACACGGCCCAGACUCCUACGGGAGGCAGCAGUGGGGAAUCUUGGACAAUGGGCGCAAGCCUGAUCCAGCCAUGCCGCGUGAGUGACGAAGGCCUUAGGGUUGUAAAGCUCUUUUGCCGGGGACGAUAAUGACGGUACCCGGAGAAUAAGUCCCGGCUAACUUCGUGCCAGCCGCCGCCGUAA